rnacentral:misc_RNA from 1 species
CAGCAAGAGAAAGUGGGGGAAAAGGUAUGUAAAUUUUCAUUUUUAAUUAAUUCGUAACUUACAAAAUUUAUGGCAUGAAAGCUUUUGUGGAUUUGUGAUAGGAUGGUUAGGUACAGCCUUAAAAUUUGAAACUACUGUGCAUAUCAUGAGAACAUUAUGCAUUUUUCUUUUCCCUGUGUGCUUUUAGGAAAUGUGUAGUUCUGUUAAGAAUAAGGAGAAUUUUGCUUUUGUUUGGCACUUUUGCCUCUGUUGAGACUUUUAGUUGUAGUUUACAUGGUAACUAACAACCGUUCAAAAAUUUUUGGCAGCUCCACGGACUGUGACCUUGAAUCCUUUAUUGUAUCUGUGAAUGGUAACUUAGUUUGAUGCAGUACCUUUUUUGAUGGGCCUGACCUGAAGAGGAAAAAAGAGAGAAGAAAAGAAAAGAGAGAGUAGGGGAAAUCCCUAAUAAAUUUCACAGUUCUUGUGUUCACACCUGUAGUUAGUUUCUCUCUAUUUAUAGUCAUGAUGUAGUUUGUGGCCACCAGUAUCGAUGUAGGUUGUUUAUGGAUUGAUUGACUUUUUUAAGUGAAUACUAGUUUUAGCUGGAGCCUCUAAUAGUUAGUGGCUGAACCACUGAAGGCUGUGGAAGUUUAUCUAAUAUGAGAUAUUACUGAAAUCAUAUGACAGGGCAUUCUGACUGCUUAUUAAUUUAUUGUUAAACCUGGGAGUUCCAUGGGUUAUAUUUAGGGUAAAUUACAGUAUGCCCACGCAGGUUUGUCAAAAACCACAGAUUGGUCCCCUAUUUCCAAUUUGAAACAAUUGCAUCCCUGAAUUUUUAUUCCAUCAGCAGUAUUUGCUAACAGCACUCUGUUUCUCACCCAAAAUCACAAACCUACCUCUUGCAACCCAGAAUUUCAACCAAAAUUAAGUAGCACCUUCCUCAUCUCCCACCAAUUUUAACCAAGAAAAUCACAAAUCAUAAAUAACAAUCAUUAAAUCACAAAGCUAAUAUACACCAGUAAAGUAAAACCCAGAAAAAGGAAUAACCAAACCCCAAAAAAAAUACAAAAAUAAGGGAAUUCAAAAACCCAGAAAAUGAAACUAAAAGUCAACUCCAGACUAGGCAAAGGAAGAGCAGUGGCAACAGCAGGGGAUACGUGGAGCACAGUAGGAGAGAAGCGGGGACAACAAAGGAGGCAGGGUGGUUGACCGCUUCAACAGGGAUAGAAUCGUGAAACCAACGUGAAGCCCUGAUAAAAGAAAAUGCAUGAAAUUGGAGGUCUUAGACAGAAUCAUAAACGAGUACAACGAGAAAUUGGUGAGUCACAAAUUGGCAGAUGAUGAAGUUAUAGUCAAUUGCUUGGAUGGUGGUUCAUGAGAGCAC